rnacentral:rRNA from 1 species
UACGUAGGGCGCAAGCGUUGUCCGGAAUUAUUGGGCGUAAAGGGCUCGUAGGCGGUCCGUCACGUCGGGAGUGAAAACUCGGGGCUCAACCCCGAGCCUGCUUUCGAUACGGGCGGACUAGAGGUAGGUAGGGGAGAACGGAAUUCCUGGUGUAGCGGUGGAAUGCGCAGAUAUCAGGAGGAACACCGGUGGCGAAGGCGGUUCUCUGGGCCUUACCUGACGCUGAGGAGCGAAAGCGGUGGGAGCGAACAGG